AUUUUACCUCCUGUAUAUUGAUCUGUAUUUUGAUUGUCAGGGUGGUUUUGCCCUGAUUAUUUAUAUUACUGAUUGUGGCUUUUGCUUUUAGUAAUUAUAUUUGUGUUUGAUUGUUAUUAUUUGCUUUUCUCUCCCCUUUGCCCGGUCUCCCUGCUUGUGCUGUAUUUCUGUCAGCACAAGCUGGGAUCCGCGGCUCUCAGUGGAAGUGUUUUGCAUUUGGAGCUUCUGGCUCCCUGUUCCCUCCUUAUCUGCCGGCCCGAUCAGUCUCCUCGCACCCGCUGGUGCGAGGGAGUUCCCGGCCGUGUGUGUACCACGCACUCCCCAGCCAUUGGCGUGUGAGGAGCUCCGGGUACCCGCAGCGCGCUCUGCUCAAGGCGGCCAUCUUGGAUUAUCGGCACACACGUGGCUGGGUCUGCUCGGCGGGUCGGCUCCCUCCUUACCUCCCCUUUCGUUUUUCCUUUACUGUGCAGGUAUUUUU